AUUGAACGCUGGCGGCAUGCUUUACACAUGCAAGUCGAGCGGCAGCGCGGGGGCAACCCUGGCGGCGAGCGGCGAACGGGUGAGGAAUACAUCGGAACGUGCCCGAGAGUGGGGGAUAACGCCGCGAAAGCGGCGCUAAUACCGCAUAUUCUCUGAGGAGGAAAGUGGGGGACCGCAAGGCCUCACGCUCACGGAGCGGCCGAUGUCGGAUUAGCUAGUUGGUGGGGUAAAGGCUUACCAAGGCGACGAUCCGUAGCUGGUCUGAGAGGAUGAUCAGCCACACUGGGACUGAGACACGGCCCAGACUCCUACGGGAAGCAGCAGUGGGGAAUUUUGGACAAUGGGGGCAACCCUGAUCCAGCCAUGCCGCGUGCGGGAAGAAGGUCCUCUGGAUUGUAAACCUCUUUUGGCAGGAAACAAACCUGCGCUAUACGCGCAGCUGAGGGUACCUGCAGAAUAAGCACCGGCUAACUCCGUGCCAGCAGCCGACGG
rnacentral:rRNA from 1 species